rnacentral:rRNA from 1 species
CGCUUGUNNNNCAAAAACAUGUCUUUUUGAUUAUAAUAUAAAGUCUAACCUGCCCACUGAUAAUUUAUUAAAUGGCCGCGGUAUAUUGACUGUGCAAAGGUAGCAUAAUCAUUUGUCUCUUAAUUGGAGGCUGGAAUGAAUGGUUUAAUGAAAUAUUAACUGUCUCAUUUUUAAAAUUAUAAAAACUUAGCUUUUAAGUUAAAAGGCUUAAAUAUAUUUAAAGGACGAGAAGACCCUAUAGAUCUUUAUAAUUUAAUUAUUUUUAUUAAUUAGAAAAAUAUAAAAUAAAAUUAUUUAAAUUAUUUUAUUGGGGUGAUAGGAAAAUUUAUUGAACUUUUUUUAUUUUAAAACAUUGAUUUAUGAUUAAUUGAUCCAUUUUUUAUGAUUAUAAGAUUAAGUUACCUUAGGGAUAACAGCGUAAUUUUUUUAAAGAGUUCAUAUCGAUAAAAAAGAUUGCGACCUCGAUGUUGAAUUAAAGGUUAUUUCUAGAUGAAGAAGUUUAGAGUUUAGGUCUGUUCGACCUUUAAAUCUUUACAUGAUCUGANNNNNAAACCGGA